AAUAAAUUGCUAAAUUCUAUAAUAAUUUCUGUUAUAUCAGCUCAUCAUCUUUUCUCUUUUUCUUUUGCUGUCCCCCAACUAUUCCUCUUUCUGGUCAGUGUGUGCCCUGAUUUCUUUCCGAAGAAUGACCUCUCUCCAGUCUGCAGGGACUGUGAAUAAGGGUCUCUGAACUUCCUUAGCCUAUAUAUAUUUUUCCUUUUUUUUGAGGGAGUACUCUGAAUCUAGAACUGAGUGUUACAAAGAUGUAAAAGACAGUUGGAGUUCAUUCCUGUGUAGUACCCUAAAGAGACUGUCAAGGUGUCCUGCAGCCUCCAUGCCCAAAGCUGGAUGGUUACUGACUGAAUGCUAAGCUGACUCCAAGCUUGGGCUCAAAGUCUCUUUGCCCUUUUGAGUUCUUUAAGACUGGUCCAGUAAAUUCUCUUUCUAAUUUAACCAGAAUGGGUUUCUGAUACUUAAAACCAUGGAAGCCUAACAAACAGAGACAGAAUUUUUGUGGGGAGUUCCAGAACUCCGGUAAUCACCAGACUCCCAGUGUCCUAGUGAAUGAACUAUGGAGAGGAUGGAGGGAUACUUUCAGGAUUCUGGUGUCACACAUUCUACAUGAAAAGAGAAAUAUGAAGACGGAAACUGCUCUGCAGUGUUUGUCUUGCCCAGAGACAGAGUGUGCGAUCUGUAAAGGUUUUCCUGUGGUUGUAUAUUGCACUCCACUUUGCAAAUGA
rnacentral:lncRNA from 1 species